GCAAUAGGAUGACAAACUGUUUCAGUCCCAAAUGAUGGCUUCUGAUUACUUAGGUCAACUGAUUCUUGC